rnacentral:rRNA from 1 species
GAUGAACGCUAGCGGCAGGCCUAACACAUGCAAGUCAGGGGUAACAUAGGAAAGCUUGCUUUUCUGAUGACGACCGGCGCACGGGUGCGUAACGCGUAUACAACCUACCUUUUAGCGGGGAAUAGCCCAGGGAAACUUGGAUUAAUGCCCCAUAGUAUAUAGACUUCUCCUGAAGUUUAUAUUAAACAUUUAUGGCUAUUAGAUGGGUAUGCGUCCUAUUAGUUAGUUGGUAAGGUAACGGCUUACCAAGGCAGCGAUAGGUAGGGGUCCUGAGAGGGAGAUCCCCACACUGGUACUGAGACACGGACCAGACUCCUACGGGAGGCAGCAGUGAGGAAUAUUGGACAAUGGGCGAGAGCCUGAUCCAGCCAUGCCGCGUGCAGGAAGACUGCCCUAUGGGUUGUAAACUGCUUUUACAGAGGAAGAACCACCCCCACGUGUGGGGGUUUGACGGUACUCUGCGAAUAAGGAUCGGCUAACUCCGUG